rnacentral:rRNA from 1 species
CUGCGGAGGAUCAUUACCAGAGAGGAGCC